AGUGGGGAAUAUUGGACAAUGGGGGCAACCCUGAUCCAGCCAUGCCGCGUGAGUGAUGACGGCCUUAGGGUUGUAAAGCUCUUUUCUCCGGGACGAUAAUGACGGUACCGGAGGAAUAAGCCCCGGCUAACUUCGUGCCAGCAGCCGCGGUAAUACGAAGGGGGCUAGCGUUGCUCGGAAUCACUGGGCGUAAAGGGCGCGUAGGCGGCUGAUUUAGUCGAGGGUGAAAGCCCGUGGCUCAACCACGGAAUGGCCUUCGAUACUGGUUGGCUUGAGACCGGAAGAGGACAGCGGAACUGCGAGUGUAGAGGUGAAAUUCGUAGAUAUUCGCAAGAACACCAGUGGCGAAGGCGGCUGUCUGGUCCGGUUCUGACGCUGAGGCGCGAAAGCGUGGGGAGCAAA
rnacentral:rRNA from 1 species